UUACAACACCAGUUCCUGUAUGAUCACUGAAGUUAAGCAAUGUCAAGCCUGGUCAGUAUGUAGAUGGGUGACUGCUUGGGAAUAAUAGGUACUGUAAG